AAAUAAAAAAUAAUAAUAGCUGACAUUUAUCUGGCACUAUCAUCACACGGGGCCACUGUUCAACUCCCUUUGUCAAGAUGAACUCAUUCAUUCCUCAAAACCACCCCACUUUACAGAUGAGGAAAACUGAGGCCUAGAGAGGUGAGAUCAGUUACCCAAAGUCACAGAGUUCAUCAGAGACCAGGCUGGGCUCUGAACUGGAUCUUGACCCCAAGUCCUGGCCCUUAGCCACUUUGCUGGGCUGUGUCUCAGCAGAGACGAGAAUGACUGUUUUCAAGCCUGUUUCCUGGGUUGUUAAGUGGAGACAAUGGAUACAAGGCAGGUUGCCGAGUGAGUCAGAUGAGACAGUGUAGACAGCAGCCGGCACAGGGUCUGCCGGGGAAGUUUCAACAUUAGCCAGGCGGUGAUGUUCACCUUGGGAUACCAUGGGGCCGAGGAGUGGGCAUCAGGCGAGACUUCCCUUGAACCAGCUCUGGAGCAAUGCCCUUGCAAUUGCCAUGGAGAGGAACAGGGCCAGCUGGGGGCCAAGGUGACAGCUGAGCCCCCCAAGGGCACCUGCUACCCGAGCCCCCGAGGCCUCCAUCCCAGGCCCGGCCUCCCCAGAGAAGGGGCCAGAGGAACAGCCAAAUCCCAAGGCUAUAAAUACCUCGGCUGGCGUCGGCCCUGGCCGUGGAAUGUCGUGAAAGAAUUCUUAGCCAAAGCCAAAGAAGAUUUUCUUAAAAAAUGGGAAAGUCCCGCUCAGAACACAGCCCACUUGGAUCAGUUUGAACGAAUCAAGACCCUCGGCACGGGCUCCUUCGGGCGGGUGAUGCUGGUGAAACACAAGGAGACCGGGAACCACUAUGCCAUGAAGAUCCUCGACAAACAGAAGGUGGUGAAACUGAAACAGAUCGAACACACCCUGAAUGAAAAGCGCAUCCUGCAAGCUGUCAACUUUCCGUUCCUCGUCAAACUCGAGUUCUCCUUCAAGGACAACUCAAACUUAUACAUGGUCAUGGAGUACGUGCCCGGCGGGGAGAUGUUCUCACACCUACGGCGGAUCGGAAGGUUCAGCGAGCCCCAUGCCCGUUUCUACGCGGCCCAGAUCGUCCUGACCUUUGAGUAUCUGCACUCGCUGGAUCUCAUCUACAGGGACCUGAAGCCGGAGAAUCUGCUCAUUGACCAGCAGGGCUACAUUCAGGUGACAGACUUCGGUUUCGCCAAGCGCGUGAAGGGCCGCACUUGGACCUUGUGCGGCACCCCUGAGUACCUGGCCCCUGAGAUUAUCCUGAGCAAAGGCUACAACAAGGCCGUGGACUGGUGGGCCCUGGGGGUUCUUAUCUAUGAAAUGGCCGCUGGCUACCCGCCCUUCUUCGCAGACCAGCCCAUCCAGAUCUAUGAGAAGAUCGUCUCUGGGAAGGUGCGGUUCCCUUCCCACUUCAGCUCUGACUUGAAGGACCUGCUGCGGAACCUCCUGCAGGUAGAUCUCACCAAGCGCUUUGGGAACCUCAAGAAUGGGGUCAACGAUAUCAAGAACCACAAGUGGUUUGCCACAACUGACUGGAUUGCCAUCUACCAGAGGAAGGUGGAAGCUCCCUUCAUACCAAAGUUUAAAGGCCCUGGGGAUACGAGUAACUUUGACGACUAUGAGGAAGAAGAAAUCCGGGUCUCCAUCAAUGAGAAGUGUGGCAAGGAGUUUUCUGAGUUUUAGGGGCGUGCCUGUGCCCCCAUGGGUUUUUUCUUUUUUCUUUUUUUUGGUCGGGGGGGUGGGAGGGUUGGAUUGAACAGCCAGAGGGCCCCAGAGUUCCUUGCAUCUAAUUUCACCCCCACCCCACCCUCCAGGGUUAGGGGGAGCAGGAAGCCCAGAUAAUCAGAGGGACAGAAACACCAGCUGCUCCCCCUCAUCCCCUUCACCCUCCUGCCCCCUCUCCCACUUUUCCCUUCCUCCUUCCCCACAGCCCCCCAGCCCCUCAGCCCUCCCAGCCCACUUCUGCCUGUUUUAAACGAGUUUCUCAACUCCAGUCAGACCAGGUCUUGCUGGUGUAUCCAGGGACAGGGUAUGGAAAGAGGGGCUCACGCUUAACUCCAGCCCCCACCCACACCCCCAUCCCACCCAACCACAGGCCCCACUUGCUAAGGGCAAAUGAACGAAGCGCCAACCUUCCUUUCGGAGUAAUCCUGCCUGGGAAGGAGAGAUUUUUAGUGACAUGUUCAGUGGGUUGCUUGCUAGAAUUUUUUUAAAAAAACAACAAUUUAAAAUCUUAUUUAAGUUCCACCAGUGCCUCCCUCCCUCCUUCCUCUACUCCCACCCCUCCCAUGUCCCCCCAUUCCUCAAAUCCAUUUUAAAGAGAAGCAGACUGACUUUGGAAAGGGAGGCGCUGGGGUUUGAACCUCCCCGCUGCUAAUCUCCCCUGGGCCCCUCCCCGGGGAAUCCUCUCUGCCAAUCCUGCGAGGGUCUAGGCCCCUUUAGGAAGCCUCCGCUCUCUUCUUCCCCAACAGAUCUGUCUUCACCCUUGGGCUUUGAAAGCCAGACAAAGCAGCUGCCCCUCUCCCUGCCAAAGAGGAGUCAUCCCCCAAAAAGACAGAGGGGGAGCCCCAAGCCCAAGUCUUUCCUCCCAGCAGCGUUUUCCCCCAACUCCUUAAUUUUAUUCUCCGCUAGAUUUUAACGUCCAGCCUUCCCUCAGCUGAGUGGGGAGGGCAUCCCUGCAAAAGGGAACAGAAGAGGCCAAGUCCCCCCAAGCCACGGCCCGGGGUUCAAGGCUAGAGCUGCUGGGGAGGGGCUGCCUGUUUUACUCACCCACCAGCUUCCGCCUCCCCCAUCCUGGGCGCCCCUCCUCCAGCUUAGCUGUCAGCUGUCCAUCACCUCUCCCCCACUUUCUCAUUUGUGCUUUUUUCUCUCGUAAUAGAAAAGUGGGGAGCCGCUGGGGAGCCACCCCAUUCAUCCCCGUAUUUCCCCCUCUCAUAACUUCUCCCCAUCCCAGGAGGAGUUCUCAGGCCUGGGGUGGGGCCCCGGGUGGGUGCGGGGGCGAUUCAACCUGUGUGCUGCGAAGGACGAGACUUCCUCUUGAACAGUGUGCUGUUGUAAACAUAUUUGAAAACUAUUACCAAUAAAGUUUUGUUU
rnacentral:sRNA from 1 species